GCUUUGGUUAAGGGAUUCACUCACUUUUAGUGAAGAGAUCUUGACAAAUCUAUGUGAAUCAUCAUCAGAGGCAAGACAAUUGUGCUGCUAUGGUUUGAUAAGUCCUAGUUGCUGUGCAAGAAGUCACAAACGAAAACCAAGGAGGACUCGACCGAAGGAAAAGAGAUAUCAAAUGUUCAGGUAUGUGUCGAAAUCCUUCUCUUGUGUUUUUCCUAUAUUAGUUUCAAUUAAAGUGAUCCAUGGUUUAGAGAAUUGAAAAUUUUAAUAUUCCGUUGUGUAUGAUCCACCUUAGCAUGUUUCAAAUCCCAAACACGAAGAAGGAAAAAGGACAUUCAUCACAACACCAUAAUCAUUAAAGAUUUAUUUCAUAGCACUCCAUGGUAUGAAGAGUUUCACGCCAUAUCCCAAUACUCCGAGCGACCAUUGGGUUCCAAAGUCUCCUCCCUGAAUCCCUAACAACCGUCAUUCCAAUCGCACGAGACACUGCCCCAAGUGCUCACACACACCACACACUCUCUCACUCAUUUUCCUCAUCCUAAGCAAUUCUCUAAUCUAUAGCCUUAUAAUGUUGAUUCCGCACUUGUCCACUUGAGAUAGUUGAGGUUGAGGAAUUAAGUCAAUAUUGGUUUUUCCAGUAGAAAUUGAUUUCUAUGUUGAUAGGUGAACUACUUUUGUGUUCCAUUGUAUCUGAGAUGUCAUGUCUGAAGUGUGGCAUUUAUUAUAGAGCACUAUGGAAGGUCACAAAAUUAUGAGAAUCAGAAAUACUUUUGGAUGGUUGUCAAGAGAAUGAUCAACUAGUUUUCUGAACAAUUACGCAAUUGCUUUUUUCCUUUUUGCUUUCAUAUUUCAUAAUCAUUUCCUUUCUCUUUCAACUGUUAAAUUAUGAUUCCGGUUCCCUCUUACUGUGUCUUCACGAAGAACUUGAUACUGUAAAAGGUAUUCUUCUUCAAAAUCAUUUAUAUAUGUGUAAUGUAUAGUAUUUCAUGAUAAUGAUAACAUGAAUAAAUAUAUGACAAAUCAAGACGGAAACUGAUAAUUGGUAUCAAUCUUUGAUGGAAAACAAACUUUUGUUUUAUCUUAAUUCAAUUAAUGGAGUUGAAAAUAAUUUCUCUAUAUUCUAGCAUAACAAUUGUUUUGGGCAUGGCUUUAGUUGUUCGUCUAUAAAAAGUAGACGCUGGUAUGGAGGGUCAACUAGGGUUUGAAUUUAAGCUAUUUCAAGUUGAGAUUAUUUUGAAUUUAUGUUGUUGAAUUUUAAAACAAAAUUGAGUUUAACUCUAUGGAAUGAUAUUAUGAUGGGUAACAUAUUAAUUCUUGUGACAUAUGAAUUCCUAGAUUUUUAAUCUACAUUCAAAAUAGUGGGCAGAAUUUAAUAAUCCACCACUAUUGCAAGUAUUGUAGACCAAGGCAAGGGUCCAAGGCAGAAAAAGGC
rnacentral:lncRNA from 1 species